rnacentral:rRNA from 1 species
GACGUAGGGCGCGAGCGUUGUCCGGAUUUAUUGGGCGUAAAGAGCUCGUAGGCGGCUUGUCGCGUCGUCCGUGAAAACCUGCAGCUCAACUGCAGGCUUGCGGUCGAUACGGGCAGGCUGGAGUUCGGUAGGGGAGACUGGAAUUCCUGGUGUAGCGGUGAAAUGCGCAGAUAUCAGGAAGAACACCAGCGGCGAAGGCGGCAUCCUGGACUGGUCCUGACACUCAUGAGCGAAAGCGUGGGGAGCGAUCCGG